UACGUAGGGGGCAAGCGUUGUCCGGAAUCAUUGGGCGUAAAGAGCGCGUAGGCGGCCCUGUAAGUCCGCUGUGAAAGUCAAGGGCUCAACCCUUGGAUGCCGGUGGAUACUGCAGGGCUAGAGUCCGGAAGAGGCGAGUGGAAUUCCUGGUGUAGCGGUGAAAUGCGCAGAUAUCAGGAGGAACACCGAUGGCGAAGGCGCUCUGCUAGGCCGUAACUGACUGAGGGACGAAAGCUAGGGGAGCGAAUGGG
rnacentral:rRNA from 1 species